UUCAUCCUUCAACUUAACAUCAUCUAAAAGCUUUGGAAACUAUUAUGAGUUGGAUUUAAUUCACCAAUCUGCAGACACACCGCAUUGCAAUGUGGAAGUGAUAGUAAAAUGUAAACUCAUAAAAGAGUACAUCAUUUCAAAUGAAGAUCUCCGGAAAUGCUUUUCAAAAGAAAAUCCAUCCAAAGAAUUAUACUUUAUAUUACUGGUUACAUUCAUUCCCCUUACACUGAUUAUAAUAAUUAUCUCAUUGGUAAUCUGUAAAAUAAAGAAAACAGAAAAUGCUAAAGAAAUCAAUAAUAAGACGGAUACACACCAGAGUGAUAGUUAUUAUAUAGAAAUCAGAAUAGAUGAAGAAUCUGAAGAGAACGAAAGACUUGAACAUCGGUAAAAAGAAAACAUCGAAAAUCAAAACUUUCCCAUUAAGAUCCAAAAAAUGUGUCAAAUACUACCUAUGUUUUCGACAUGUAUAGUAAAUGUAGUACACAGCAUGCCAAAUGAGGGAUAUUGACUCUGAGAUAUAUAUUGAAUGUUACCAUAAAUCGUCGUUAUUCAAGAGUGAGCUUUGCCCAGUUGUUAACCCUGUUUUAUGCCAACAUAUUUCUAUGAUAGUUUCUAGGCUAAAAGCUGAGCUGUUUAAUAAAUAUUUUGGUUAUCUUGAUCAGAUCCAUGAAUUGACUACGAUAAAAAAAUGUGUAAAGUUCACUUUUACUUUUAAACAAAGCAUUAAUAAGAAUUUGACACAGUCCAAAUAAGUUUCUGUUUUAUACAAUGUAUUGCGUGAACAAGUAUUUUGAUUUGUAUAUUAUAUAUUUUUGCUAAAUGUACCUUAUUACUGUUUGGGUAAAUUGAAUUCUGUGAUUGCAAACUUAACUACAUGUUCAUAUCUGUAUUUUAUUGAAUUGUAAUUCGUAUGUUAUGACCUCAGGGAAUAUUUGUUUGUUGUUCCUAACUAUGUUUACUCUUUUAAUCAAACAUUUGGUUUUUAUUAUUAUUAUAUAAAAGAAGUCAUUAAUAAGUCAGUAGUAUGAUAUUUAUUUUUAAAAAUGAUAUAAGUUUAAUAUAUUUGUUAAUUCCUAUUCAUUAAUAUGCACACUUAAACGUGUGUUGUGCUGUGUCUUAUAUUGUUGAUCUCAUUGUACUAAAAAUUUCAUGUUUGGUUUAAAAAAGGAAAUGUCAGAUAUUGUUUUUUUUUUUAUUUUUGGUGGUUUUUUUUUUUUUUAUCUCAUUGAAUUAUAUUUGCAAACAGUAAACAUCUGCAUUCCGGAAUAAAGUUUAUAAAAGAUUUCACUGAAAACAGUGUUUAAUUAUUUAGAAUUUACCACAGCUUGUAGAUUGCAUUAAAUUAUCUUUUAAUUGACAUUUUCAUUUGCUCAAUUCUCAGGUGACUAUUUUGCAUAUUAUUCAUGGAAAAUAAUGUGUUAACUCACACAACUAGUUACCUUGAAUAAGUUUUGUAAAUUAUGUUGGUGUGUUUUGUUUUAAGCACCACUUAUUACGUAUACGUUUUAGUUUAUGUCUCGCCUACGACGAAAACCGCAGAAUGCGAGACAUAGGGAUUACUAUCCUGCGGCGGUGUUGUAACUAGUUUUGGAUCAAGUUUAUAUAUUUCAUUAAGUAAAAGACCUAUAUGCAUCACAUCUUGUAUGCAGAUACCUUUUGUUACAAAAUGUCCGUCUGUUAUAUGUACAUGGUCUUUGACCACAUUUUCAUUGUGCACCGACUGCAUGUAAAAUUUAAAAGUUGUUUAGUCAUGUGAAUUUUGCACGUUCUAUGAGUGAUAGGACAACCAUAUUUGGUUGAUAAGUUCCUUGCAAUGUAUACAUGUCUGUCACACAAGGAUCAGCUGACCGCGACCACAUGUCAUGGAUCACUCUUGAAGAUUAAAAUUAUGUGAUGAUAUCCGUAUCUCAGAUACUAUAAGCAGUUAGGUCAACUGUAUAUGGUGUAUGGAAUUACUGUAAUGAGUACAUGUCAGUCUUGCAUGUAUCAUCCGACAUUGACCUCAUUUUCAUGGAUCAUUAGUCAAUGUUCAGUUUUCACAGUUUGGUUUGUUUCUUUGAUACUAAAAGCAAAAGGUCAACUAUAUUUGGUGUGUUACAUGAUUUUAAGGUAUACAUGUAUGUCUUCCAGGGUUUGUCGGACCUUUACAUAAUUGUAAUCGACCAAUGAUUAUGUUACAAUUGUUCGAUACUUGCAGUACAAAUUUUGUUUAAAAACUUUAAACAUUAAAUCAAUCAUGGUCAGCACAGCAGGCGAGACUUUUCAGCAUGUGCACUUUUUUCAUAUUUGUAUCUAGAUUGCCUUAAAGAGAAAUAUCAUCUAGUGCACAUUGAUUUCUUUAUAUCAUUUUUCAAUUAGCAACACAUACAUUUAGUUAUAAAACUACAGAGAAAAAAAUAAUAGAUUAAUUGGGAUAACUGAUGUGAAUUGUAGUGUAUGCUUUCCAUACAUUAUGCAAGCCCCAUCCGAAAUUGAAACGAUGUUUAUUCGGUCUUUUUUUUUAUUAGAACAUAUGACAGGUUUACAUCUAAGAAAUUGGGUUAUAUUUGCUGUUGAUAAUUUGAAUAACUGCAUAAAUCUCUUCUCUCAAAAUGACGUUUUUGUUAUAAUAGAAAAAUGCAGAAUAUUUGGUAUCCAUCAAUGACACAAAAUCAGUACAUGCACAGCAUAAAACACACAAAAAUCAUUUGUCCCAUUAUGCUGCAACGCAUUGUUAUAUUUUGAAGUAUCAACUUUCAAUAAGGAUAAUCAAAAGUUAGUGAAGUAACCAAUUUGAUAUUUUCCACUAGUUAUUACUGUUAGAUAUGUUACUUAACAAUUAUUGAAGAUUUAAAUGAAAAGAACACUUUAUAAAUGUGUGCUUCCCUUAAUUUUCUAUAUUCACACAUUAUACUUAUGAUACAAGAUGUAUGUAUAUUUUGUAAAUCUUAUAUUUUGUAUGUAUAUAAAUAUAUGUAUAUAAUUUGAACAUGAGCACGUAUAAAUAG